rnacentral:rRNA from 1 species
AGUGAAUGCUGGCGGUAGGCCUAACACAUGCAAGUCGAACGGCAGCACAGUAAGAGCUUGCUCUUACGGGUGGCGAGUGGCGGACGGGUGAGGAAUACAUCGGAAUCUACUUUUUCGUGGGGGAUAACGUAGGGAAACUUACGCUAAUACCGCAUACGACCUACGGGUGAAAGAAGGGGAUCUUCGGACCUUGCGCGAUUGAAUGAGCCGAUGUCGGAUUAGCUAGUUGGCGGGGUAAAGGCCCACCAAGGCGACGAUCCGUAGCUGGUCUGAGAGGAUGAUCAGCCACACUGGAACUGAGACACGGUCCAGACUCCUACGGGAGGCAGCAGUGGGGAAUAUUGGACAAUGGGCGCAAGCCUGAUCCAGCCAUGCCGCGUGGGUGAAGAAGGCCUUCGGGUUUUAAAGCCCUUUUGUUGGGAAAGAAAAGCAGCAGGUUAAUACCCCGCUGUUCUGACGGUACCCAAAGAAUAAGCACCGGCUAACUUCGUG